rnacentral:rRNA from 1 species
AGAGUUUGAUCCUGGCUCAGGAUGAACGCUGGCGGCGUGCUUAACACAUGCAGGUCGAACGAUGAUCCCAGCUUGCUGGGGGAUUAGUGGCGAACGGGUGAGUAACACGUGAGUAACCUGCCCUUAACUCUGGGAUAAGCCUGGGAAACUGGGUCUAAUACCGGAUAUGACUCCUCAUCGCAUGGUGGGGGGUGGAAAGCUUUAUUGUGGUUUUGGAUGGACUCGCGGCCUAUCAGCUUGUUGGUGAGGUAAUGGCUCACCAAGGCGACGACGGGUAGCCGGCCUGAGAGGGUGACCGGCCACACUGGGACUGAGACACGGCCCAGACUCCUACGGGAGGCAGCAGUGGGGAAUAUUGCACAAUGGGCGAAAGCCUGAUGCAGCGACGCCGCGUGAGGGAUGACGGCCUUCGGGUUGUAAACCUCUUUCAGUAGGGAAGAAGCGAAAGUGACGGUACCUGCAGAAGAAGCGCCGGCUAACUACGUGCCAGCAGCCGCGGUAAUACGUAGGGCGCAAGCGUUAUCCGGAAUUAUUGGGCGUAAAGAGCUCGUAGGCGGUUUGUCGCGUCUGCCGUGAAAGUCCGGGGCUCAACUCCGGAUCUGCGGGUGGGUACGGGCAGACUAGAGUGAUGUAGGGGAGACUGGAAUUCCUGGUGUAGCGGUGAAAUGCGCAGAUAUCAGGAGGAACACCGAUGGCGAAGGCAGGUCUCUGGGCAUUAACUGACGCUGAGGAGCGAAAGCAUGGGGAGCGAACAGGAUUAGAUACCCUGGUAGUCCAUGCCGUAAACGUUGGGCACUAGG